UAAAUUCUCUAGUGGCGCACGGGUGAGUAACACGUGAGUAACCUGCCCCCGAGAGCGGGAUAGCCCUGGGAAACUGGGAUUAAUACCGCAUAGUAUCGAAAGAUUAAAGCAGCAAUGCGCUUGGGGAUGGGCUCGCGGCCUAUUAGUUAGUUGGUGAGGUAACGGCUCACCAAGGCGAUGACGGGUAGCCGGUCUGAGAGGAUGUCCGGCCACACUGGAACUGAGACACGGUCCAGACACCUACGGAAGGCAGCAG
rnacentral:rRNA from 1 species